rnacentral:lncRNA from 1 species
GUGCCACAACCCCGUAAAGGGGGAAUAAACCCCCCUCAGGUCAGGAGUUCCUGGGGAGGAGAGCUGAGUUUUCCAAAAUUAACUAAUUUUUCCUGAACGUCUGAUUUCAAAACGUUUACUGAGCUUUCCUGUGUUCCAUCAAGGCCUCUGCUUCCAGGAACUGGGAAAGGAGAGGUGGGUUCACUGCGGGUCUGCCUGGCUGGGCAGCAGGAGAGGAGGUGGGUUCAUUGCGGGUCUGUCUGGCCGGGCUGCAGGACGUGCACUCAGACUCAGCCCGUGUGGUUUCCAAGGCCCGAAGGACACACCAGGCCAGAUGCCCCCAUCACACACAGGGCUAGGGAGCAGCAACUGGGGUCCACGGUGGUUCCGCCCCACCCCACCCCGCAGGGCCACCCUCCGAGAGCAGUGCUAUUGUUGGUUCUCGCCAUAGAACCUGGGUUUAGGUUUGGGGGCCCAGGGGCUGCCUGGUGGGGGGGUGGGGUGAUAUGGUUUGGUUCUGUGUCCUCACACAAAUCUCAUCUCGAACUGUAAUCCCUGUGUCGAGGGAGGGAGGUGAUUGGAUCAUGGAGGAGGGUUUC